rnacentral:rRNA from 1 species
GGGUUGUGAGGUUAAGCGAACAAGCGUACACGGUGGAUGCCCUGGCAGUCAGAGGCGAUGAAGGACGUGCUAAUCUGCGAAAAGCGCCGGUAAGGUGAUAUGAACCGUUAUAGCCGGCGAUGUCCGAAUGGGGAAACCCAGUGUGAUUCGUCACACUAUCUCAGCAUGAAUACAUAGUGCUGUGAGGCGAACCGGGGGAACUGAAACAUCUAAGUACCCCGAGGAAAAGAAAUCAACCGAGAUUCCCCCAGUAGCGGCGAGCGAACGGGGAACAGCCCAGAGCCUGAAUCAGUUUGUGUGUCAGUGGAACGGUCUGGAAAGGCCGGCGAUACAGGGUGACAGCCCCGUACACGAAGGCACACAGGCUGUGAGCUCGAUGAGUAGGGCGGGACACGUGAUAUCCUGUCUGAAGAUGGGGGGACCAUCCUCCAAGGCUAAAUACUCCUGACUGACCGAUAGUGAACCAGUACCGUGAGGGAAAGGCGAAAAGAACCCCGGCGAGGGGAGUGAAACAGAACCUGAAACCGUGUACGUACAAGCAGUGGGAGCCUUCGUAAGAGGGUGACUGCGUACCUUUUGUAUAAUGGGUCAGCGACUUAUAUUCUGUAGCAAGGUUAACCGUAUAGGGGAGCCGAAGGGAAACCGAGUCUUAAUUGGGCGUUAAGUUGCAGGGUAUAGACCCGAAACCCGGUGAUCUAGCCAUGGGCAGGUUGAAGGUUGGGUAACACUAACUGGAGGACCGAACCGACUAAUGUUGAAAAAUUAGCGGAUGACCUGUGGCUGGGGGUGAAAGGCCAAUCAAACCGGGAGAUAGCUGGUUCUCCCCGAAAGCUAUUUAGGUAGCGCCUCGUGAACUCAUCUUCGGGGGUAGAGCACUGUUUCGGCUAGGGGGCCAUCCCGGCUUACCAACCCGAUGCAAACUACGAAUACCGAAGAAUGUUAUCACGGGAGACACACGGCGGGUGCUAACGUCCGUCGUGAAGAGGGAAACAACCCAGACCGCCAGCUAAGGUCCCAAAGUCAUGGUUAAGUGGGAAACGAUGUGGGAAGGCACAGACAGCCAGGAUGUUGGCUUAGAAGCAGCCAUCAUUUAAAGAAAGCGUAAUAGCUCACUGGUCGAGUCGGCCUGCGCGGAAGAUGUAACGGGGCUAAACCAUGCACCGAAGCUGCGGCAGCGACACUAUGUGUUGUUGGGUAGGGGAGCGUUCUGUAAGCCUGUGAAGGUGUGCUGUGAGGCAUGCUGGAGGUAUCAGAAGUGCGAAUGCUGACAUAAGUAACGAUAAAGCGGGUGAAAAGCCCGCUCGCCGGAAGACCAAGGGUUCCUGUCCAACGUUAAUCGGGGCAGGGUGAGUCGACCCCUAAGGCGAGGCCGAAAGGCGUAGUCGAUGGGAAACAGGUUAAUAUUCCUGUACUUGGUGUUACUGCGAAGGGGGGACGGAGAAGGCUAUGUUGGCCGGGCGACGGUUGUCCCGGUUUAAGCGUGUAGGUGUGUGUUCCAGGUAAAUCCGGUUCACUUUAACACUGAGGCGUGAUGACGAGGCACUACGGUGCUGAAGUAACAAAUGCCCUGCUUCCAGGAAAAGCCUCUAAGCAUCAGGUAACACGAAAUCGUACCCCAAACCGACACAGGUGGUCAGGUAGAGAAUACCAAGGCGCUUGAGAGAACUCGGGUGAAGGAACUAGGCAAAAUGGUGCCGUAACUUCGGGAGAAGGCACGCUGACAUGUAGGUGAAGCCCCUGCGGGUGGAGCUGAAGUCAGUCGAAGAUACCAGCUGGCUGCAACUGUUUAUUAAAAACACAGCACUGUGCAAACACGAAAGUGGACGUAUACGGUGUGACGCCUGCCCGGUGCCGGAAGGUUAAUUGAUGGGGUUAUCGCAAGAGAAGCUCCUGAUCGAAGCCCCGGUAAACGGCGGCCGUAACUAUAACGGUCCUAAGGUAGCGAAAUUCCUUGUCGGGUAAGUUCCGACCUGCACGAAUGGCGUAAUGAUGGCCAGGCUGUCUCCACCCGAGACUCAGUGAAAUUGAACUCGCUGUGAAGAUGCAGUGUACCCGCGGCAAGACGGAAAGACCCCGUGAACCUUUACUACAGCUUGACACUGAACAUUGAGCCUUGAUGUGUAGGAUAGGUGGGAGGCUUUGAAGCGUGGACGCCAGUCUGCGUGGAGCCAACCUUGAAAUACCACCCUUUAAUGUUUGAUGUUCUAACCUGGCGCCAUAAUCUGGCGUGGGGACAGUGUCUGGUGGGUAGUUUGACUGGGGCGGUCUCCUCCCAAAGUGUAACGGAGGAGCACGAAGGUCAGCUAAUCCUGGUCGGACAUCAGGAGGUUAGUGCAAUGGCAUAAGCUGGCUUGACUGCGAGAGUGACGGCUCGAGCAGGUGCGAAAGCAGGUCAUAGUGAUCCGGUGGUUCUGUAUGGAAGGGCCAUCGCUCAACGGAUAAAAGGUACUCCGGGGAUAACAGGCUGAUACCGCCCAAGAGUUCAUAUCGACGGCGGUGUUUGGCACCUCGAUGUCGGCUCAUCACAUCCUGGGGCUGAAGUAGGUCCCAAGGGUAUGGCUGUUCGCCAUUUAAAGUGGUACGCGAGCUGGGUUUAGAACGUCGUGAGACAGUUCGGUCCCUAUCUGCCGUGGGCGCUGGAGAAUUGAGGGGGGCUGCUCCCAGUACGAGAGGACCGGAGUGGACGCAUCACUGGUGUUCGGGUUGUCAUGCCAAUGGCACUGCCCGGUAGCUAAAUGCGGAAGAGAUAAGUGCUGAAAGCAUCUAAGCACGAAACUUGCCCCGAGAUGAGUUCUCCCUGAGACUAUAAGUCUCCUGAAGGAACGUUGAAGACGACGACGUUGAUAGGCCGGGUGUGUAAGCGCAGCGAUGCGUUGAGCUAACCGGUACUAAUGAACCGUGAGGCUUAACCUUACAACGCCAAAGAAGU